rnacentral:rRNA from 1 species
AUUGAACGCUGGCGGCAUGCCUUACACAUGCAAGUCGAACGGCAGCACGGGUGCUUGCACCUGGUGGCGAGUGGCGAACGGGUGAGUAAUACAUCGGAACAUGUCCUAUAGUGGGGGAUAGCCCGGCGAAAGCCGGAUUAAUACCGCAUACGAUCUACGGAUGAAAGCGGGGGACUUUCGGGCCUCGCGCUAUAGGGUUGGCCGAUGGCUGAUUAGCUAGUUGGUGGGGUAAAGGCCUACCAAGGCGACGAUCAGUAGAUGGUCUGAGAGGACGACCAGCCACACUGGGACUGAGACACGGCCCAGACUCCUACGGGAGGCAGCAGUGGGGAAUUUUUGACAAUGGGCGAAAGCCUGAUCCAGCAAUGCCGCGUGUGUGAAGAAGGCCUUCGGGUUGUAAAGCACUUUUGUCCGGAAAGAAAUCCUUGGCUCUAAUACAGUCGGGGGAUGACGGUACCGGAAGAAUAAGCACCGGCUAACUACGUG